ACCCGCUGAACUUAAGCAUAUCAAUAAGCGGAGGAAAAGAAACCAACAGGGAUUGCCCUAGUAACGGCGAGUGAAGCGGCAACAGCUCAAAUUUGAAAUCUGGCUCUUUUAGAGUCCGAGUUGUAAUUUGCAGAGGGCGCUUUGGCGUUGGCAGCGGUCCAAGUUCUUUGGAACAGGACGUCACAGAGGGUGAGAAUCCCGUACGUGGUCGCUAUCCUUCGCCGUGUAAAGCCCCUUCGACGAGUCGAGUUGUUUGGGAAUGCAGCUCUAAAUGGGAGGUAAAUUUCUUCUAAAGCUAAAUACUGGCCAGAGACUGAUAGCGCACAAGUAGAGUGAUCGAAAGAUGAAAAGCACUUUGGAAAGAGAGUCAAAUAGCACGUGAAAUUGUUGAAAGGGAAGCGCUUGCAGCCAGACUUGCCUGUAGUUGCUUAUCCGGACUUUUGUCCGGUGCACUCUUCUAUAGGCAGGCCAGCAUCAGUUUGGGCGGUUAGAUAAAGGUCUCUAUCACGUACCUCUCUUCGGGGAGGCCUUAUAGGGGAGACGUCAUGUAACCAGCCUGGACUGAGGUCCGCGCAUCUGCUAGGAUGCUGGCGUAAUGGCUGUAAGCGGCCCGUCUUGAAACACGG
rnacentral:rRNA from 1 species